CACGUAGGGUGCGAGCGUUGUCCGGAAUUAUUGGGCGUAAAGAGCUCGUAGGCGGUGUGUCGCGUCGGCCGUGAAAACCUGCAGCUUAACUGUGGGCUUGCGGUCGAUACGGGCAUCACUGGAGUUCGGCAGGGGAGACUGGAAUUCCUGGUGUAGCGGUGAAAUGCGCAGAUAUCAGGGGGAACACCAGCGGCGAAGGCGGCGCUCUGGGCCGGUACUGACGC
rnacentral:rRNA from 1 species